GGGCCAAUCGUAUAGUGGCUUAUUAUGCUGUCUUAGGGUAAUCACCUCCUUUCCAGAGGAUGCACUCUAAGUUGACAGAGGUCCCCGGUUCGAUUCCGGGUUGGCCCC